rnacentral:rRNA from 1 species
UACGUAGGGGGCUAGCGUUGUCCGGAAUCAUUGGGCGUAAAGCGCGUGUAGGCGGCCCGGUAAGUCCGCUGUGAAAGUCCAGGGCUCAACCCUGGGAUGCCGGUGGAUACUGUCGGGCUCGAGUCCGGAAGAGGCGAGUGGAAUUCCUGGUGUAGCGGUGAAAUGCGCAGAUAUCAGGAGGAACACCAAUGGCGAAGGCAGCUCGCUGGGACGUGACUGACGCUGAGACGCGAAAGCGUGGGAAGCAAACAGG